rnacentral:tRNA from 2 species
AGGGGUGUAGCUCAGUUGGUAGAGCAUCGGCCUCCAAAUCCGAGUGUCGCGGGUUCGAAUCCUGCCACCCCUGCCA